UUUUUCGUUGUAGCAAUACGAUGGAAAGUCUAGCGGCGAACGGGUGCUUAACACGUGGGCAACCUGCCAUGAAGUGGGGGAUAGCUCGCCGAAAGGCGAAUUAAUACCGCAUGUGAUUAGAGAGGACAUCCUUUCGAAAUUAAAGUCGGGGCAACCUGACGCUUCUUGUGGGGCCCGCGGCCUAUCAGCUAGUUGGUGAGGUAACGGCUCACCAAGGCUUUGACGGGUAGCUGGUCUGAGAGGACGACCAGCCACACUGGGACUGAGACACGGCCCAGACACCUACGGGUGGCAGCAGUCGAGAAUUUUUGACAAUGGGGGAAACCCUGAUCGAGCGACGCCGCGUGGAGGAUGAAGGUCUUCGGAUUGUAAACUCCUGUCAUUGGGGAACAAGGUGCAUACGUUAACUGCGUGUGCAUUGAUAGUACCCGAAGAGGAAGAGACGGCUAACUCUGUGCCAGCAGCCGCGGUAAUACAGAGGUCUCAAGCGAUGUUCGGAUUCAUUGGGCGUAAAGGGUGCGUAGGCGGCGCGGUAAGUCGGGUGUGAAAUCUCGGAGCUUAACUCCGAAACUGCAUUCGAUACUGCCGUGCUUGAGGACUGGAGAGGAGACUGGAAUUUACGGUGUAGCGGUGAAAUGCGUAGAUAUCGUAAGGAAGACCAGUGGCGAAGGCGGGUCUCUGGACAGUUCCUGACGCUGAGGCACGAAGGCCAGGGGAGCAAACGGGAUUAGAUACCCCGGUAGUCCUGGCAGUAAACGGUGCACGUUUGGUGUGGGAAGAAUUCGA
rnacentral:rRNA from 1 species